ACAUAUUAUGCACACUCUAUUUUUGUCAAAACUGUGAAAAAAAUGUUGUUUGUUUUCCCCAUUUUUUGGCAUCUAUAAUUAAUGAGAAUUUAUCUAUGUAUAUGUGACAUUGAAUGAAAGCCCUUUUCCCCUCUAAAAAAUGGUAUAUAAUAUGUGUUGGCGCAAUAAAUGACAGAGAUGCAAAUUGCGUUUGAACACCAACAGCAAAAAAUGCAAAAAUGUCUUCUGUCCUUAAAGGUAAGACAAGCUUUUGAAGCUGUGUCCUUAAGGGGUUAAUCCAGUCA